rnacentral:rRNA from 4 species
GAGAUUCAACAUGGAACGAGUGGCGGACGGGUGAGUAACACGUGGGUAACCUGCCCUUAAGUGGGGGAUAACAUUUGGAAACAGAUGCUAAUACCGCAUAGAUCCAAGAACCGCAUGGUUCUUGGCUGAAAGAUGGCGUAAGCUAUCGCUUUUGGAUGGACCCGCGGCGUAUUAGCUAGUUGGUGAGGUAAUGGCUCACCAAGGCGAUGAUACGUAGCCGAACUGAGAGGUUGAUCGGCCACAUUGGGACUGAGACACGGCCCAAACUCCUACGGGAGGCAGCAGUAGGGAAUCUUCCACAAUGGACGCAAGUCUGAUGGAGCAACGCCGCGUGAGUGAAGAAGGCUUUCGGGUCGUAAAACUCUGUUGUUGGAGAAGAAUGGUCGGCAGAGUAACUGUUGUCGGCGUGACGGUAUCCAACCAGAAAGCCACGGCUAACUACGUGCCAGCAGCCGCGGUAAUACGUAGGUGGCAAGCGUUAUCCGGAUUUAUUGGGCGUAAAGCGAGCGCAGGCGGUUUUUUAAGUCUGAUGUGAAAGCCCUCGGCUUAACCGAGGAAGCGCAUCGGAAACUGGGAAACUUGAGUGCAGAAGAGGACAGUGGAACUCCAUGUGUAGCGGUGAAAUGCGUAGAUAUAUGGAAGAACACCAGUGGCGAAGGCGGCUGUCUGGUCUGUAACUGACGCUGAGGCUCGAAAGCAUGGGUAGCGAACAGGAUUAGAUACCCUGGUAGUCCAUGCCGUAAACGAUGAAUGCUAGGUGUUGGAGGGUUUCCGCCCUUCAGUGCCGCAGCUAACGCAUUAAGCAUUCCGCCUGGGGAGUACGACCGCAAGGUUGAAACUCAAAGGAAUUGACGGGGGCCCGCACAAGCGGUGGAGCAUGUGGUUUAAUUCGAAGCAACGCGAAGAACCUUACCAGGUCUUGACAUCUUUUGAUCACCUGAGAGAUCAGGUUUCCCCUUCGGGGGCAAAAUGACAGGUGGUGCAUGGUUGUCGUCAGCUCGUGUCGUGAGAUGUUGGGUUAAGUCCCGCAACGAGCGCAACCCUUAUGACUAGUUGCCAGCAUUUAGUUGGGCACUCUAGUAAGACUGCCGGUGACAAACCGGAGGAAGGUGGGGAUGACGUCAAAUCAUCAUGCCCCUUAUGACCUGGGCUACACACGUGCUACAAUGGAUGGUACAACGAGUUGCGAGACCGCGAGGUCAAGCUAAUCUCUUAAAGCCAUUCUCAGUUCGGACUGUAGGCUGCAACUCGCCUACACGAAGUCGGAAUCGCUAGUAAUCGCGGAUCAGCACGCCGCGGUGAAUACGUUCCCGGGCCUUGUACACACCGCCCGUCACACCAUGAGAGUUUGUAACACCCGAAGCCGGUGGCGUAACCCUUUUAGGGAGCGAGCCGUCUAAGGUGGGACAAAUGAUUAGGGUGAAGUCGUAACAAGGUAGCCGUAGGAGAACCUGCGGCUGGAUCACCUCCUUUCUAAGGAA